CUUUCCGAAAGAGAUCGAAUUGAAACUGAGCAAAGAGAUUAAGUGAUAACGAAGUGGUGAUGGCAGUAGUUUCUGGAAGAACAUCAACACUGAACCUAGAUGCCCCUCUCUUCAUCCCAGCAGCUUUCCGCCAAGUAGAGGAUUUCUCAGCAGAGUGGUGAGAGUUGGUAAAGACCUCUACAUGGUUGUGUGACCACUGGCUUUCACAACAACAAGAAGAAGCCUGCAGCUUCAUCA